AGAAGGAAAGCCGAAGCGCGGGCGCACUUGGUGAAAUCAGUCGUUCGCAGUCAACGCGAGUGUGACGGCGGUGUGUGGUGGCGUCGCGACGCCGGCGCAGUCACGUCGAUCGAUUCCAACGAUUAUUUCUCUCUCUCCCUCUCUCUCUCUCUCUCGCCCCUAACGGGUCGACGGAAACCAGAGUCGAGCAGAAACGACAGAAACGAACGAGUAGAAAGAAGAAGCCCGUGGAUCCGACGAGGAGGUGCACAGACAGUUAGGGUAGCGGAUAGAAUGAGAGGGUGAAACUCGCCGUAGGUGUAUCACCCAAGAGCGAGGGAGACAGACGAAGGGAGGAAUCGGACGGGGGUGUCGUGUGCGCGCGUGUCUUUCGACGGACACUACGCGUACAACGGAACGUGCAGGAUACGCGCGAGGUGACAGAUCACCAGGGAAGGUUUGUUUCGUGCCGAAAAAAAAUAGCACGGGUUCUCUCUUUCGGUGACACCGUGUCUCCCCCGUGUUUAAAAAUAUUCGCGCACAGCCGCGGUGCAGGAUGACGCCGUUGCGGAUUUAGAAGAGAGAAACUUAACCUUCCCGCAAGCUGGACGCCGGGAUCGAUUGUAAUACAGUCUUCUUAACAGCCGGCUGACACUGGCUCGAAGACAUGGAUUACCGGUCUACUGGUACCAGGUGCGAGGAUGACUCCCUGGAGAACGAGAAAGGAAUCGGUGCUGCGAACGACCACAAGGGAGCGUCUAAAUGCGGUGGCUCGCACACGCGCGGAACGGCGAUGUCGUUUGGUUUCCGACGAAGACCCACCUCCGGGAUACCGAUGCCGAUAACGAGUUACGCCACAGAGGCGACGAUGUUCCACCCGCGCUCGAAAUCAGCCGGCCCGGAGCAGAACCGGAGACGCGACGAGGACAACACCUGCGCGAUGCGUAACUCGUCUUCCGGCCGAUCGACGCCUCGGCUGGCGCCACCGAAGAAAGAGUCCACCGGAAUCGCCGUCCGGACGAACCGCUUCGGUUACAGGCAACCGCAGCCGAAAUUCACGAACAAGGUCGGCGACAUCUGCAGCAGUCACACGGCGAGUCAUCACAACCAGGAAAAGCUGCAGCAGCAACAGCAGCUGGACAGUUUCGCCAAGCAGCAGCACAGGGUGGUGCAGGUGUGCAACGCGACGGCGCCUUCGAAGGCGAAGCAAACGCAAAUUCCAAAUACCCAGUACACCAACGCAAACAGCAACUACGUGGACGGCAAUCGGCGGCCAUCGAACAUCCCGGAGUCGUUCGGCAGGUACACCCUGCACACCAGUCACCUGCCGUUGCCUCAAUACGCCGUAAGAAUGACCGACGCGAACUCCAAGGUCGCGAAAACCGCAGCGAACCAGAGCAGGAAGGUUUCUGCGGCGUCGAAGAGCUCAGCGAGUUCGAAAGAAGGCUCCAGCACGGAGGACUCCGGCGUGGGGAGUCAGCAGGGUUGUCCUGGCGAGAUCGAAUCGAGAGGCGUUGAUUACGCGGACGGAUCGUUGGCGAGGAGACGCACCAUAGGCAGACCUAGGAACUUGAGGAUGGUCGUGAACGGGAAGAGCUUCGAUGUCAGAGACGUCCGGGACGACGAUAGCACGGUCACCGAAAUAUCCGUUAUAUCGUUGCCCAAGACGUUCACGGCUACCACUGGUUUGGUGCGGGAAAGAACUAGCCAGUACCAGAGGAUCGUUAAUAAAGACAAUAGGUACACCGAAUCGACCACGUCCAUGUCCACCACGUCCUCGGAGGGCUACGACGAAGGUUUAGGCGAGGAGAAGGUUUAUAAAGAUAGAUCACAUUCCGAGAAGAUUCCUUCGAUUAAAUCGGACUUCAGUCCACCGAGUUCGGACGACCCUGAAUACGGUCACGGGGAGGCGAUGGCUGACGAGUACUCGUUGAGCUCCAGCGACGAAUGUCAUCGUUCCGGUACGAUUCAACACGCGGAGACCGUUUCCCACACGGCUAAGAACGGAACCUUGCCGAAGACUAGUCUGCGUUCCGUGCUUCUCACCAUCGAGGAUCCCGCGUUUGCCGCAGCUGCAGCCACGUCCACCACCUUGAUAGAUGAUGAGACGUCCCCUGUCGACAGCCUCUUCGACAGUCUGACGGCUAGCAUCACGCAGUCGGAUGUUAAAGCCGCGAGGAAGGACAACGCGGCGGAACAGUGCGAACAGGAAGACGACAGCCCUGGGACCCCGACGAACGCGUCGAAUUCGUUGAGUUUGUCGGAGGGUAGGGAAUUCUUCGACGACGAGAUCGCUGAUCAGCCUGGGCUUGUUUUCGAUGACAUCUCGAGGACUGUUGGAGACCCGCAUUCCGCCAUGGCUAGUCAGGCACACACCGAGAACAGCCAUACUUUGAUCGAAUCCAGUCCUAAGACAGGUACAGGACAUGGAAAAAACGCAACAAACAGCCCUCAUCAUGGCAAACGAAUAAGUCGAGCUGGCAGCGUCGACACUUUAUCUCCCUGUGAAUCCAUUGCUUCUGAUGACCUAAUACUGGAUUACGAACAGAGCGAUGCGAGCUCCUACGAGGAACAACAUCGGGUGGAGUCAACUACUGCAUUGCAGGACAUGGAUGACGCUGUCAUUCUGUCCGAACUGGAAGCUCAAGGAGAAGAAGUGAUGAGACAGUGGACUUCUUUGUUGGGUACAUGUCAAACACUGCAGCAAACUAAUAAUUCGAAUACAAUUAAUAACAAUGUGAACAGUGGAUCGGCCAAUAACAAUAACCCAUCAACCAACGAUAUAGGAAACGAGUGUGAUUCAACGACAAAAAAAUGGCGAAGUAGAUCUGUAACCGAUUCACCGCGUUCUCUCGAUGGCACACGACGUCGGCUAAUUUCCAGUCCCUUGAGGACAUCGAGAAACGUUCAGCCAUCAAGCAUCGACUCUCGAGUCGACGAGGAAUGUCUUCGAGUUGACCUUGACACGUAUCAACACAUGUUUCAAGACAUUGUUUCUAUGAAAACAAUGCUUCUGAAACUCAAACGAGUACUCCAGGAGUCAGAAGAGAACGGUUUGACGGGGGCAGAAACUCUCAACCCAUUCGACAAUACCAUAAAGAAUGGUCUCUUCUACAACCUAAACGAGGGAAAUACCGCUGAUGUUAGUACCUCACCUGGUAGCGGAGGUAAUAGCAUCGCGGACGAAUUGGCUGAUUUACGUAGGCAGGUUAUCUUUUUACAAGGUCAAGUGGAGGACAGAGAUCGAACUAUACAACUAUUGCAGUUCCAAAUGUCGAAACUUCAAGGACCUAACGGCGUCGACGGUCAAACGUGUGUUUUAACCAAUAACCAUAAGAAUAUUCCAUCCGCGAAUACGUGCAAUGCUGCUACGCAAACAGAGAAGACACGUCCAGUGUCAGCAGGACCUUCACUCUUACAAACACUCCCACAGGAUGGUGUUAUGGGGCCUCUAGUUAGCUUCAGGAUCGGGAAGGUAGAGUCCGUCAGUUUGUGUGACUUACUAUUGGGAUAUUUACUCCUUUCUGCAUUAAACGCCUUUAUAUUCAUGCAUCUCUUUUAUAUUAGGAUCACUUGUUUAAUCAUUCGAUACUAAUGUUUUGGGUUUCUUUUGCAUGCGACAGUAACAUACUCUUUUGCUUUUAAAUUUCUUUCGUGCUGAUUUGUUUGAAAUCAUUUCAAAUGCUUACGAAUGUAUAUAAACAUUAAAACAUAUUCGCUGUAGUACGUCUAAUAAUAUCCUUUAGUAUUGUAUUUAAGGUUUGCGACCGAAUCUUGCUGUAUACGUAACUACAAUAUUUCAUUUUAAGUCCACAAUUAACAGCAUUGUUGAAAAUAUUCUAUUUUUACAACUAUUUUUAUAUCCAGUAUUCAAUCUUUAAUAGUUUAUAGGAACUAUUGUAUGAAAUUAUUAUUGACAGUAAUAUUAAAAUACAAUUUGGAAUUUAUUUCAAUCAAAUUCAAUAUACAUAUCUUACAAACAUUUAUAGAUAAAUAUUAAUUAAAAUAGUUAAGAAUUAACAAUGUGUAUGUUCUCAGAACAUUGUUCUGCAUAAAAAAUCAUUAUGUAUUUACUUAUUAACGUUUAAUAGCAAACUUAUAUUAAUACAUGUAACAAUUUUUUGUUAAUCGUACAAUAGAGACACGAAUAAGAACAAACAUGCUUCAUCGUUGCAAUGUGAAUUUUCUUUCUAUGAUAGUCUAGGUUCGAUUGCAAGCCCUAAUAAGAAUAUAUUAACCCUUUGGCCUACGAUUUACUGUAUGAUAGUGUGUGCCAUAAUCAGGUAUCAAAAUUCCUUUUCACACGACGUGUCUGACUCGUGUUUUUCAUGUUCGACUCAUUCUGUACCACGAGUCUCACACGUUAUUAUAGGUUAAAGGGUUAACUAACAUAGUUUAAUAUUUCAACAGUUCAACAUGCAACUAUAAUGGUUCUAACAGUACAUUGUAUAUAAGAUGCGGAUCUUGCUUUAAAAGUGUCUUUGUGAAACUCUAACUCUCUUAGCAACUGAUACUCCUAGCAUGUAGUAUUUACAAAUAGAUAAAUGUAUGAUCAAUUGUAAAAUACAAAUUAAAUAUUUUUUUCCUGGGAUAUUGUUUUGAGAUUAUAAUGGAUUUACAAUUAAAAAUGUUUCAUGCUGCACUUGAUAGCCAUGUGCGUUGGAGUGACUCCUAGGAUCGACACCGCCCUACAUCGCGCAUAGAGCUUAAUGUUAACAGAAGUACGUACAAUAAGAUCUCGUGAAGAAGAAACCUCGCAUCGUCGAAAUGGGCAUAGUUGUCGGUAAGAAGGACUUUGAAGUCCACUGAAGUCCACCGAGUCGAAACAAUAUGGAGCAACGCGAGAUAAGAACUGAUAAGAACGGAAGGGAGUCCCACGAAGUCAUGUUACAGUUAGAGAACUCGCAACUUGCAACAUCGACUUUCAUACCAUCACCGAAGACCCUAAACCUCGACAGGCCGAUCGCACAACUCGUAAUUCAUAUAGGUGCGAAGUUACGUUCGACUUUCGUUUAUUUUUGUACUACCUUCUUUUAUUUCCGCGGAGAUGCUGCACAGUUAGCUCUACAAAAUCGAAUCGUUGCCUUUAAUUCGUAGAACGUGAUACGGGUUAAAUAAUUAAAUAAUUUUUUAAAUAUUAUAAUAAACACGAACGAUGCGAAAUUUCUCUUGCAGUCAUACAACGAGCAACAGAAAAACGUAAUGCUCUGAACAUUUGGUACACACGAAUAACAGAAAUAAUGUACAAAUAAUGUAUGGAUAGUUAAGGACAAUUCAUAAGUUCCUAUCUUUUCACGUUUAUGUUUCAUUUAAUUUUUAUGCUUCACGAAUCGCAGAACAUGAAAUCAUUUUUCAACAGGGUCAAUGAAUUCAUUUGGUUAUUAGCAAAAUCUUUGUAAUUAGAUGUGAUCGUGUCACUCUGUUUAUGAACGCAUACUAAUGCAUUUUAUCAUAUUCUAUAAAUUGCAAAAGUUUUGCGAAGAAUCUACUCAUGUACUUCACUUCACAUGCUAGCUAGCUACAGCUAGCAACAUCUGUUUAUUUACAUUCCUUUAAAUUAACAGCGGUUGUUCUAUGAAAAUUUCUUUUUAGUAUUUUUAACCUUUUAACCACCAAUACUGCGAAAUGGAAACUUUGCUCUACGAAUGGAGAAAAAUGAUUAAUCUUAACACUUUACCAACCGGUAGCAGUUCAACAUCCAAUGAAUAUUUUCGCUUGUCUUAUGCUCAGGUAAAUUUGUACGCUUUCUGUUAUUAUAGGAUAAUCAAAUUUAAUAAACUUUAUUCUUUUUAUUUUUGUAUUUUACUUUUUGUAUUCACCAUCAAGGCUAAAUUUGUUAAAAUUGUAUAAAAAUAUGGAAACUUACAGAGCGAGGCAACUAGUAUCUCAAUACAAAGUAACGAAUACUUGCUAAUUACCAUAGCAACCGAUUAAACAGUUACCAGUCGGUGAGCAUUAGAGACAAAAAGCUACUUAAUCAGCCACCAGUUGGUAAAGUGUUAAGAAUUAACCUUUGCUUGAACAUCACAGUUUCUAAAACAUCUUUUUAAUCUUUUAAUCCUUUUAGUAUAAACAGCACCAUGCUCUUCAACGACUCAAUCAUUUCUUUCUGAAUAAUUUUCUCUAUUCUCAGUAGCUUCGAGCCAACUUCUUGGCAACUUUUCAUUUUUAUACAUACUAUUAAAUACCACAUUUUAAUUUCAAUGUAUUAUUCUCUAUUUAAUGUACAAAUUUUUGACGAUAAGUAAUAUGUUUUAAUUAGUCCUGAUCCUAACAGUAAUGUACAGCUGUUCAGAUCAGAUCGUUCUUGUAAAUUUCUUUAUAAUUUAUGUUACUUGUAAUUUAUUCCAUCGCUGGCAUGUAAGAUUAUAUUUGGUGCUAUUAAUUCUUUCAGUUUGCAAUAUUUAGAUUCUCCUGAAUUAUAGAAUAUAUAAAAAUAUCGCAAUUGCAAUGGCCAUUGGUUAUUUUUAAUGAAAAAUUCUUGAAAUUACGAUAUAGUUAUUUACAUAUCUUUAAACGAGACAAUAAGAACCAUUUUAAAUGGUCGGUGUAUCAAUGGAAGAAGGUAAAGAUAAAUUUAUAAUUUAUUCAAGAUAAAUCGAUAUCAGGAGAUACUAAAUAUCUUAUAUAUUGUAUAUUCUUUUUGUAUAAUCUUUAAUUUGUACAAUGGUAUAAUAAUAAAAUGGAGGAGAAUCGAGAGGAUAAAACAAUUUUUUAUAUGGACAAAUGUAGUAAUGAUAUUGAAUUUAGUGGGUCUCACCUUCGUAAUGUAACAGGCUGAUAUGUAUGUAUGUAUGUACAAGAGUGUACCGCAGGUAGAGAGAACCUCUUUAGGAUGACAGACUGAAUAUCAAGUAACGAUGUUACUUUGGAAAUAACUGGAAGGAUAUUUGAUGAUUUUCAUUAUUAAUAUUUCGGUUAUAACUGUUUAAAAAACAGUGUUGUCACAAAUUUUUAAUAAAAUUUACUUCAUUUAAAGAUUAUUUCACAUAUUCUUAUUUACUUUUGUUUAUUGUUGCAAAAUGUGAAACUUAAAUAUUUUUUAAUAAUGAAAAGUCUUCAAAUUAUAAAUAUUAAUCAUACAUUUUCUUUUUGUCUCUCGUCUUUUAAUUAUUAUGUUACAUCUCGAAAUUGAUUACACGUUUAAAGAAUAAGGUAAUUCUAUGAUAAAUUUAGUUUCUCGCAUAUGAUAUUUUUACUUGAGCAAAAAACAGUUUUCAGUUAAAACAUUGACAUUACCUUUUUCUGUAAUUAUUCUUGAUUAUUACCAUGUGCAGUUUCCUGCUGAAAAAAAUGCAAAAUUUGAAAAACUGUGCUCAUGUAUCUCUACUUACUUUUGCCAAAAAAUAGUUGAAUUCCUUAUUAGAAUUAAAUCUGCUUUUUCGAGAUAGAUAUACUUGAGCACAAUAAUUGAUAACAUUUGUAGAAUGUUUUAUGAGAUGCAAACAAGUUAUUCUUUAAAAUAUUAAUAUUUAUGCAACAAACAUACAAAUAUUAUAUAUAUAUUUAAAAUAUUCUAAAAUUAUUUUUGUGAUUAUAAUUGUGCACAAAUAUUUAUAUCCAUGCUUAAUUACUGUAUAAAAGUUAACGAACAACUUUCAGCAGGAUGCUCUUUCACACCCUUGUCGUGUCAACAGUUGAAUAACGUGCAAUUCUUCAAAAUUGUUAUAAUGCUGAUGAAAUUAUUUGAUUAAUAAGGUGUACUAACAGAUUGUAAAGGAAUUCGCACAAAACGCAAGUUUAUUUGUUUCAGCUAGCUUUUUAAAUUAUAUUAAUGUUUUCGAUGCUUUAAUAUUGUAACCAUUUCUAAAAACUUUGGUAACUUUAGAAUGAAUGAGAACAAAUUGUACUUAAGUAACGUGCAAUAUUUUUUUUGUGUUAGAUGAACAGAAUUAAGUUUCAACAAAGUAGCAAAUAUACCUGACUUGAGCAGUGAAUGAUAUAUGACUAAACAAUUAUCAUUAUAAAUGCUGCUGUUCCUUGAACGUGUAGUACUGCAUUUAUAAAGUGUAAAAUCUUUUAACGAUAGGCACCUUUAAAUGGUUAAUAUUAAAAAAAAAAACAUGGCAACCACAAGUCAACCUUGUAAAAUCUUAAUAAAAUACAACUGGAUUAUCAGUCUUAUUUAACAUUUACAAAAUACUAAAUAUAAAUAAAAGCUUUCUCUUGUAAUUAAAUAGAAACACGGGUAAUUUAUGUCCUGUAUUAGAUAAACCUUACUUUAAUUUGUACAUUAUAUGUAUAAAUAUGUUGCCUCUGUGGUCCUAAAUGCGAUAGAAUAAUAAAUGAAGUUAUGUUUGA